rnacentral:rRNA from 1 species
GUGCCUAACACAUGCAAGUUGAGCGAUUUACUUCGGUAAAGAGCGGCGGACGGGUGAGUAACGCGUGGGUAACCUACCCUGUACACACGGAUAACAUACCGAAAGGGAUGCUAAUACGGGAUAAUAUAUUUGAGAGGCAUCUCUUGAAUAUCAAAGGUGAGCCAGUACAGGAUGGACCCGCGUCUGAUUAGCUAGUUGGUAAGG